UGGGGAAUUUUGGACAAUGGGCGAAAGCCUGAUCCAGCAAUGCCGCGUGUGUGAAGAAGGCCUUCGGGUUGUAAAGCACUUUUGUCCGGAAAGAAAUCCUUGGCUCUAAUACAGUCGGGGGAUGACGGUACCGGAAGAAUAAGCACCGGCUAACUACGUGCCAGCAGCCGCGGUAAUACGUAGGGUGCAAGCGUUAAUCGGAAUUACUGGGCGUAAAGCGUGCGCAGGCGGUUUGCUAAGACCGAUGUAAAAUCCCCGGGCUCAACCUGGGAACUGCAUUGGUGACUGGCAGGCUAGAGUAUGGCAGAGGGGGGUAGAAUUCCACGUGUAGCAGUGAAAUGCGUAGAGAUGUGGAGGAAUACCGAUGGCGAAGGCAGCCCCCUGGGCCAAUACUGACGCUCAUGCACGAAAGCGUGGGGAGCAAACAGGAUUAGAUACCCUGGUAGUCCACGCCCUAAACGAUGUCAACUAGUUGUUGGGGAUUCAUUUCCUUAGUAACGUAGCUAACGCGUGAAGUUGACCGCCUGGGGAGUACGGUCGCAAGAUUAAAACUUAAAGGAAUUGACGGGGUCAUAGCUGUUUCCU
rnacentral:rRNA from 1 species